rnacentral:rRNA from 1 species
UCCAACGACGAAAAGAUGGCCACCAGAGCCACGCUGCUGAUCGCCUUUCUAUUGGUGUCGACCAGCAUGCUCGUUUCCGUGGUGGCAUCCAGAGAAGUUCCGUCGACAGAUCCGAUCAAUCCAGCAAACUCACUUCUGGGCGGAACUGGUCGCAAAUUCACAAUGACACGUGUGGAGAAGACGCGUGAGGUGGUCCCAGGCGGAACUGGUGAGGGUGUCAGGGCUAUUUCCCAGGAGAAGAUCAUUUUCGGUGCGCCCAAUAAUUUUGUCUGGUCGACGCGCCUUCCGCCGUGCAGAGCACGAGCAUGCUAA